rnacentral:rRNA from 1 species
CCCUUAGAUGUUCUGGGCGGCCCGCGCACUACAAUGGCGUGUGCAGCGAGUGCCGAAGUAGAGUUUUCCGAGGUAUUCUUGCAAUGCUCGUUUUGAUGGGGAUAGACCCUUGCACCUGUUGGUUUUGAACGAGGAAUUCCUUGUAAGCAUGGUUUAUCAUCCGACGCUGAAUGCGUCCCUGCCCUUUGUACACACCGCCCGUCGCUCCUACCGAUGAGUCGUCCGGUGAAGUUCGUAGACCUCGUGAUCGCGGAUCACUGGGGGAAGCAAAAUGAACCUCGCGGUUUAGAGGAAGGAGAAGUCGUAACA